AAGGAUUUUGGACUGUGUUUUGCAAUGAUAUUGAAUGUUCUAAUCAUGCUGUAAAAAAUUGCAGUUGGAGCUUUUACGCACUAUCUCAAGGAAGCUUCUACUAGCAGCCGAAACUCAAUCUCAGGAUUCCUCUCCACUACUGCUAUAUGUAUCGACCAUGUUCAAUGGCAUUUUGGGUUUCGCUUAUUUAGGCCUGGGAAUAAGUAUUAUUGUUGAGAAACUUAAAAAAGAUAAUACCAUUUUUCCAGUGCAUGAAUCGUUAGUAAUGUCAUUCCAUGGAUUCACAUGGUUGCUGCUGAAUCUAACAGUAAUACAGCAGAAAUUAUUCCUCUCUCAAAUUGCAGCUCUGAAGUUUUGUUCGAUUAUCACCUUUUUUUUGUCCGGAUUUAUCGGUUUUUCAUAUCUUUGGGAAGCUAUUAUGG